rnacentral:rRNA from 1 species
UGGGGAAUCUUCCGCAAUGGACGAAAGUCUGACGGAGCAACGCCGCGUGAGUGAUGACAGCCUUCGGGUUGUAAAGCUCUGUUAAUCGGGACGAAUGGUUCUUGUGCGAAUAGUGCGAGGAUUUGACGGUACCGGAAUAGAAAGCCACGGCUAACUACGUGCCAGCAGCCGCGGUAAUACGUAGGUGGCAAGCGUUGUCCGGAAUUAUUGGGCGUAAAGCGCGCGCAGGCGGAUUGGUCAGUCUGUCUUAAAAGUUCGGGGCUUAACCCCGUGAUGGGAUGGAAACUGCCAAUCUAGAGUAUCGGAGAGGAAAGUGGAAUUCCUAGUGUAGCGGUGAAAUGCGUAGAUAUUAGGAAGAACACCAGUGGCGAAGGCGACUUUCUGGACGAAAACUGACGCUGAGGCGCGAAAGCCAGGGGAGCGAACGGGAUUAGAUACCCCGGUAGUCCUGGCCGUAAACGAUGGGUACUAGGUGUAGGAGGUAUCGACCCCUUCUGUGCCGGAGUUAACGCAAUAAGUACCCCGCCUGGGGAGUACGACCGCAAGGUUG